rnacentral:rRNA from 1 species
UACAGAGGUAGCAAGCGUUGUUCGGAAUGACUGGGUGUAAAGGGCGUGUAGGUGGUUUAGUAAGUUGAAUGUGAAAUCCAUUGGCUCAACCAAUGAACUGCAUUCAAAACUGCUUUACUUGAGUACGGGAGAGGGAAGUGGAAUUUCUGGUGUAGCGGUAAAAUGCGUAGAUAUCAGAAGGAACACCGGUGGCGAAGGCGACUUCCUGGUCCGUAACUGACACUGAGGCGCGAAAGCUAGGGGAG